GACGAACGCCGGCGGCGUGCUUAACACAUGCAAGUCGAGCGGUAAGGCCCUUUCGGGGGUACGACGAGCGGCGAACGGGUGAGUAACACGUGGGUGACCUGCCCUCAGCUCUGGGAUAAGCCUGGGAAACCGGGGUCUAAUACUGGAUAUGACUCCAUGACGCAUGUUGUGGGGUGGAAAGCCUUGUGCGGCUGAGGAUGGGCCCGCGGCCUAUCAGCUUGUUGGUGGGGUGANGGCCUACCAAGGCGACGACGGGUAGCCGGCCUGAGAGGGCGACCGGCCACACUGGGACUGAGACACGGCCCAGACUCCUACGGGAGGCAGCAGUGGGGAAUCUUGCGCAAUGGGCGAAAGCCUGACGCAGCGACGCCGCGUGGAGGAUGGACCGUCG
rnacentral:rRNA from 1 species